UUGCAGAACAUAUUGAUGCUCUGAAAGAUAACCCCAGAAGAGUAUGAGGAGACAUACACGGUCUACACAGAUUGCCUAUUUUACUUCUCACUAUUGAUUUAUGUUGCCAAAACAAAGAGAAUGCUGAAAGUCACCUGUUCUCCAAAGGUACAUGCCACCAAAUCAAGGAAAAGCAAUAGAAGGCAGCCCCAAAAUGAAGAACCAGGUAUCCUUACAGGAAUAUAGUGAACCACAAAGGGCUAUGUGAAAAUGCAUUUGCUGCAAGCGGGAACAUCAGGGAAAUUUGGUGCCACCAGCCAAGUUAACGUAUCUUUCAAUCACCUGUGAUACUGCAGAAUAAUGGCAACUACGAUGGAAAGAUGAAAUAAAUAUGGUGCUGUAAAAACCAGGAGACCCUAAGGGCAUUUUGCUCUUGCCAUUCUUGAGGAGUUCAUUGCCUACAGAUAAGCCCUCUUUGCCUGCUGCCAUCCACGUAAGAUGUGACUUGCUCCUCUUUGCCUUCUGCCAUGAUUGUGAGGCCUCCCCAGCCAUGUGGAAC
rnacentral:sRNA from 1 species